AUUUCCCCAAUUCAAGAUGGGAAGAAAUAGAAAAUUUGAACAAUUAACCAAGGUAGAAAUUGAAUCUGUUAUCAGAAAUCUCCCAACAAAUAAGAGUCCUGGGCCAGAUGGCUUCCCAAGGGAAUUCUACUAGACAUUUAAAACAGAGUUAAUACCUAUUGUUCUCAAAUUGUUCCAAAAAAUAGAAAUGGAAUGGAAGCUUCCAGACUCCUUCUAUCAAGUCAGCAUUACCUUGAUUCCAAAACCAAAGACCC